CUACGAUGUAUAAAUAAAGCUGACUACAAAGCCUCGGAACGGAGCCACCAGAUCCUGGCGUCGUGACUACCUGCACUGCAACCACCGUUUCUAGCGAAGCGAGGAAAAGCCCAGAGUCGUACAUUCGCCUACUGGCCAGUGUCUUAUACAGGUCCACGACGCCAGGUUCUCGGUGACGCCGGGAAAAAGAACACAGCGCAACAUUGAAGGCUGCUUUGCUGGCCCUGAAAGCCGAGGCUGACCUGGACUCCUGCUCUCCCCUGUACCACCUUCGACGUGACCCUGACCAAAUGCUGCAGCAGCUGGACUUACAAAAACAAUUUCCUGAAAAUGUCAACAGGGCUGCAGAAAAGCGAUCUUAUGCAGCGGAGACGGAGAGCGUUAAAACCAAGGCCCGUUUCACUACACGGGGGAAAAUUCCCAGACAGCUUCAGCUGACAGAGCUGUGACGAGACGCCUGCCAAGCCGACAACUUAUGACAAGUAAGGCCGAGCAAAAGAAUGCUGACCUUAACAAUUCUGCAUUAACACUGUGCAGGACAGGGAUGGACCAACACGGCAGCAAAAAGGGCGUGCCAGAGACAGGAGGAGCAACUGAGGUCGAAUGGACAAAACACAGAAGAAGAUGCAGUUUUCACCUGCGGUGAGCAUGGACACUGGAG
ensembl:lncRNA